rnacentral:lncRNA from 1 species
GUCGGUUCCAGACCCCAGUGCUCCUCUUCCCGCUACUGCUAUCAACACAUGAACAAUUCCUAAAUAAAGAAUGCGAAACCUUCUUCUGGUAAAUUGAAGAAGAAGUGAUCAAUUCGUUUGGGUUAGUCAAUUGAAGUGUAGCCAUUUUGCUGUUUCGUCGGAAACUCGGUCCCCUAACAGUGGAGAGUGGAGAAGGUUUUUUAGGGUUUUAGGGAUUUCUUCAAUUUCAAUUUCAUUUCCAUUUUCCGCGAAAGAGUUUGGAAGAAAGAAACGAAUAAAAGAUUGGUGGGCCAUU